GAGUAUCGCGGUGGCCUAAUGGUUAGCGCGUUGGACUCCGGAUCGAGGCCUCCAUCCGGGUUCGAGCCCUGGCCUGGGUCA